GACGAACCGUGCGAACGUUGUUCGGAAUCACUGGGCUUAAAGGGCGCGUAGGCGGGCCGUCACGUCAGGGGUGAAAGCCCCCAGCUCAACUGGGGAAGUGCCUUUGAUACUGACGAUCUCGAGGGAGGUAGGGGCGUGCGGAACUUCCGGUGGAGCGGUGAAAUGCGUAGAGAUCGGCAGGAACACCCAGGGGGAAACCAGUCGACUGGGCAUUACCUGACGCUGAUGUGCGAGAGCGUGGGGAGCGAACCGG
rnacentral:rRNA from 1 species